GGCCUGGUGACCGAGUGGUUAGGUAGCGGUCUGCAAAACCGCGUACAUCGGUUCAAAUCCGAUCCAGGCCU
rnacentral:tRNA from 1 species